rnacentral:rRNA from 1 species
GACGAACGCUGGCGGCGUGCUUAACACAUGCAAGUCGAACGGAAAGGCCCUGCUUUUGUGGGGUGCUCGAGUGGCGAACGGGUGAGUAACACGUGAGUAACCUGCCCUUGACUUUUGGAUAACUUCAGGAAACUGGGGCUAAUACCGGAUAGGAGCUCCUGCUGCAUGGUGGGGGUUGGAAAGUUUCGGCGGUUGGGGAUGGACUCGCGGCUUAUCAGCUUGUUGGUGGGGUAGUGGCUUACCAAGGCUUUGACGGGUAGCCGGCCUGAGAGGGUGACCGGCCACAAUGGGACUGAGAGACGGCCCAGACUCCUACGGGAGGCAGCAGUGGGGAAUAUUGCACAAUGGGCGGAAGCCUGAUGCAGCAACGCCGCGUGCGGGAUGACGGCCUUCGGGUUGUAAACCGCUUUCGCCUGUGACGAAGCGUGAGUGACGGUAAUGGGUAAAGAAGCACCGGCUAACUACGUG